UUAAAACACUGGUUCUCAUACGAUCACUGAUGUUAAGCAACAUUGAGUCUGGUCAGUACCUAGAUGGGUGACCACUUUUGUAUGCCAGGUGCU